ACGGACGGCAUUCAUGCGAGUGGCUAAAUCUUUUCAAUUAACGAAGGAUCUAUUAAAGAACAAUUUGCGAAACUGCAAUAAUAUAUUUCAAAGAACAAAGAGUUAACUUUGAGG
rnacentral:misc_RNA from 1 species